UGGCGGCACUAGCGCGGUGGUCCCACCUGACCCCAUGCCGAACUCAGAAGUGAAACGCCGUAGCGCCGAUGGUAGUGUGGGGUUUCCCCAUGCGAGAGUAGGGAACUGCCAGGC
rnacentral:rRNA from 1 species